UUUAUGGAGAGUUUGAUCCUGGCUCAGGAUGAACGCUGGCGGCGUGCCUAAUACAUGCAAGUCGAGCGAACGGAUGAGAAGCUUGCUUCUCUGAUGUUAGCGGCGGACGGGUGAGUAACACGUGGAUAACCUACCUAUAAGAC
rnacentral:rRNA from 1 species